rnacentral:lncRNA from 1 species
UGUGUUUGAUGAGUAUUGCUUUCCAGCAUUGGAUGGGAGUCUGCAUUCAACUACCAUACGGAGCACUUCUUCCGGCAACACUCCUUUACUCAUUACCACUCUAGCAAUCCCUCUUAUUAUCCCUCCUGCAGUCGCCGACUCUUCUACCUCUGAAUCUCUUCCUCUUGACUCUGUUUCUUCUGAUAUCUUGCUUGUCACUACAUCUCAGGUAGAUCAGGUUGUUGCUCAUCAUGUUCCUCCAAUUACUCCACAUCUAAACACUAUUGUAACUCGGUCACAACACAGGUCAUUCUAAACCAAAACAAUUCCCAAACUUUCAAGCCUUCUACUCCACUCGUCAUCCUCUUCGGGCUCUUUCUAGCAUUCUCAAUGAAUCUGAGCCUACUUGCUUCUCACAAGCAGUAUCAGAUCCUAAUUAGCGUGCUGCUAUGGGGCUAGAAUUUGAUGCUUUAAUGGAAAAUGGGACGUGGUCCUUAUGUCCUCACCCUCAAGAUCAUUGCAUUAUCUACAACAAAUAAGUUUACAAAAUCAAACGACGACCUGAUGGCAGUAUUGAAAGGUUUAAGGCUCGGCUAGUCGCUAAGGGAUUUGAUCAGCAAAGUGGAGUGGAUUACCAUGAAACCUUCAGCCCAGUCAUCAAACCUUCUAUUAUUCGUCUUGUCUUGGCUCUUGCGGUUUCAUUUCACUGGCCAAUCCGACAGUUGGAUGUAUCCAAUGCUUUUCUUCAUGGAGUCUUGGACGAGGAGGUCUACAUGAAACAGCCGAGAGGAUUUGUUGAUUCCUCUCACCCACAUUUCGUCUGUCGUCUUCACAAAUCCUUCUAUGGCCUUAAACAAGCCCCAAGGGCUUGGUUUCGGAGGCUGUUUCAGCAAUUACUGGAGUUUGGAUUUACUGAAUCUUCGGUUGACUACUCCUUAUUUACUUUCCACUCCAACAAGGUCUCUCUAUUUGUGUUGGUCUAUGUUGAUGAUAUAAUUGUCACUGGUUCAAACUCUAUUGCUAUUACAGACCUCAUACAUCACCUACAGUCCUGUUUUCGUAUGAAAGAUCUCGGCCCCUUAAGCUAUUUUUUGGGCAUUGAAGCUUUAAGAGAUUCGAUCAUGCUGUAUUUGAGACAGACUAAGUAUAUCACUGAUCUGUUGAUCAAGACAAAGAUGGUUGGUGCCAAACCAUUAGCUUCUCCCCUUGCUUCUGGUUCUAAGCUUUCUGCGGCUACUGGUGAAUUGUUGCCAGGUCCUACUGCUUAUCGGCAAGUUGUUGGUGCUCUCCAAUACUGCACCAUUUCUCGUCCAGACAUUACCUAUGCUGUUAAUCAGCUUUGUCAAUUCAUGCACAGCCCUCGAGUUCCACAUUGGGUUGCCACCAAGAGGGUUCUUCGUUAUCUCAAGGGUACUGUUGAUUUUGGUUUGCUUUACUCACCCUCUUCCCUUCAGUUACAUGCCUUUAGUGAUUCAGACUGGCCUAGCAACCCUGAUGAUCGUCGGUCUACUAGUGGCUAUAGUGUAUUCCUUGAUCAGUUCUCUUGGAGUGUAAAGAAACAACCAGUGUGUCUCGUUCCAGUACGGAAGCCGAGUACAGAUCCAUGGACCUUGCAACUGCCGAACUAUAUUGGCUUCGGAUGCUGCUUUGUGAAUUUCACAUUCCUUUAUCUUCCUCUCCUAUCUUAUGGUGUGAUAACAUUGGUGCUCUUGCUCUUGCAUCAAAUCCCGUCUUCCAUGCUCGAACCAAACAUAUUGAAGUUGAUUAUCAUUUUAUUCGGGAGAAGGUGGUGAAUAAAGACAUUACGGUUCGGUAUGUUGCCACCCAAGAUCAGGUAGCUGAGGUGUUCACAAAAGGUCUCUCUGCAGCUCAUUUCAGUUUCUUGCGAGCCAAACUGAUGGUGUGUCAUCUCCCCAUCAGUUUGCAGGGGGGUGUUAGUUCACCUGCUCCUACUGGCUAGUUCCCUCCAACAGUGCAGACAACACAACUCCGAGUUCUUCCCAAAAGCCUCACGAGCUAAGGACCCAGAGGAGAUUUGGACAUGAUGAAGUUUUUCCCACUAAACUCCCACAAGCUCAUCUCUUCUCUGUUAUAGUAGUUAUAACUAAAGAUUGUUAUAACUACAGUCUAUUGUAACAGCUACUUGUAACUCCCUACCUUUCUCUCUCUGAAACUCUAGAAUUGUCUCUCUCUGAAACUCUAUUAGGUUUGGCAAGUUGGCCAAACGAGUUACCCAUUUCACUUGGCUUCUUUACAAAGAGGAGGAGAGAGUUACAGAGGCAAGAUGCAGAGCGCUGCAUUUGGUCUCUCGUCGCCCUCAACAGCCCUCCUCAAGGCCCGAAGCCCUCUGAGCCCGAACUCUAGAUCCUUCUUGAGUCUUCCCUCCCACCAACCCUCGCCGAUCCGCAAUGGCCUCUCUCGUCCUCUUUCCUCCCUCUCCUCUCGCCUCGGCACCGCCGGCUGAGCUUCUGGCCCCACUCUCUUGCCGGUUAGGAAGGGCCCGGAGGUUCUCGUGGCCAGGGCGAGCUCCUCCGUCCCGGACAGCGCCGGCGAGAGCAGCGCCGCCGCCGAGCCCAGCAGCGGCGGGCUGCUUGGAACCCUGCAGCUCGGAGCGCUCUUCGGCCUCUGGUAUCUCUUCAACAUCUAUAACAAGCAGGUACGUCUUCUCCUCCUCAACAUCCUCCUCUUUCCUAUUUCUUCGUCUGUCCGAUCCGAUCUUAGUGAGGAUUAUUUAUAUGGUCGUGUUGGGGGAUCUUGUGAAUCGGUCUUCCUGGAUUUUGUUCUGGGAAUCUGUUUCUGAGAGUCCCACGGCUGAGCAAAGCUCCUUUUUUUUUUCCCGGAAUGGAAGGCUGAUUAAAGAUUCUAUCUACUGCAGCUUGUUUCUACAAGCCUAAAUCUUCCCUGAUUUAAUCUUUUUUUUAGCUGAAGUUCUUGAUGUGUAUUUAUAGAUCGGGGUUUAGGUUUUGUUUUUCUAAACUUGUUUUACCAUCGCCAGGCAUCCCUUUCACUGUUUCAUUCCCUCUUGCCGUUGAUAGUUAUGCAUCUUAGUCUUUUAAUUAAAUUCGCCUUUGAGUUUGCAUCCUUGUUGACCUGAAGAAAAGGGCCAUUUGUAGAAAUGCUGCAAGAUGUGCAUCUUCUAUUAUAACAAGCAACAGGCAACGUGCUUCACUGAAACCAUUCUCGAUGUUUGAAGCUGACCCCAUUUAUGACUCUGUCUGGCUCAAGCAAGUUUCAAAGAGACCCAAUUCUGUGAAAACUGCUGAGUCAGGUAAAAGAGGAUCACUCAGAAUGAUGAAUUAUCUCCUGAAGUGAUAAGCAACAAGUUUAGAACUUCACUGUUCAGGAUACAAAAGAGUCUUCAUUUAACAUAAUUACUGCACCAGGUUUCUUCUUUGAAUGUUCUUUAUAUUAUUGUCCCUUUAAGAGAAACAUUUUUGCCUUAGACAUAAUUACUGGGUUGUUUGGGAUAUGCUGUAAUUUGAUGUCAGAUAGGAGGCAAAGUAAAUUUACUACUUCAUUAUGUCACAGGUUCUGAAGGUCUUUCCAUUCCCAACGACCAUCACAACGUGUCAAUUUGCGAUCGGGGCUGCCCUUGUUUUAUUUAUGUGGAUGACUAAUUUUACAGGAGACCAAAGAUUUCUGCUUCACAGGUAUCAUGAUGUGAUGUGUGAGGACCUGUGCGGGCGUGUGUUUAGUCCUACAUCGGUUAUUCGCUGGGUUGUUUGUGAUUAGAUUUGAAUGGAUUUGAACCCUUAGCCUGACGAGGACGUCAGGGCUUGAACGGGGGAAGUAUGUGAGGACCCGUGCGAGCGUGUGUUUAGUUCCACAUCGGUUAUUUGCUGGGUAGAUCUUGGGUACUUAUACAGGAUCAAGGAACCCAAACAGUACCUUCCGGCUAGCCAUUUUGGGUGAGGUUCUGGGUUGUUACAUGAUGCUUAUGUGAAAAUUAUGAGCGAUUGAUCAAUUAUAUAAUGCGGAUAUGAUGUAUCUAAUUAUGAGUUUCUACUUUUCAGCUUGUAGCGAUUCUACCGCUGCCUAUGGUCCACACUUUAGGCAAUCUCUUCACUAAUACGAGCCUGGGAAAGGUUGCCGUAUCAUUUUCACACACGGUCAAAGCUAUGGAGCCCUUUUUCUCAAUCCUCCUUUCCUCCUUGUUCAUGGGAGAGGUGAUUCUUUCCGUCUUACCCUUUUCUAGUUUCACUAGUGCACCAGAAUCCUCAACACAUUGUGCUGGCUGCAUUUUAAUAUUAUCCUCAUAGUUGCUAUAUUUGAUCAUAUUGUCCUAUUUUUGAGUUGUUGUCUCAUUAAACCAUUGGAUAUCCUUCAAUAUGUAACUGGGCAAGUCAUACUGUUUUACCAUUGACUACAUGUUGGUUUCUCAUGCUCUUAUGCCUUUUCUAUUUGGAUGCAAUUUAAAUGCCUCAAUAUGUAACAUUGAUCAAGACUUAAAUGUGUUAGUGAAAAAAUGAGACAAGAGGGAAGUUUACUCCUCUGGAUGUUGAUCGUGUAGUUUGUACAACCAUAAAGCUGCAUUUUGACUAAACUGGAAUCUGCAGCUUGAUAUGUUGUGACUUCCUGCUCUCUAGACGAGUAAUCUUUUACUAAAUGUGAAUGCAGUUGCCAACUGUUUGGAUUCUCUUGUCUCUUGUGCCAAUUGUUGGUGGUGUAGCAUUGGCAUCUAUGACUGAAGCUUCUUUUAACUGGUGAGUUAUUCUUAUUCAUGGUAGAAUUGAAACUUAGAUGAUAAGUUGAGUGCAACCUAGGCACUUGUGGUUGCAUAAAGUACUUGAUUUAUUAUACUGGAGUAUGAGUUAUGGUUAUAAACUAUUUAUAACAGGGUUGGAUUUUGGAGUGCAAUGGCUUCCAAUCUGACCUUACAAUCUCGCAAUGUUCUUAGCAAAAAGCUCAUGGUUAAGAAAGAGGUGAUCUAGAUUUCCAGGAACAAAAAUCAUUUCUAGCAUAUUUUUUCUAAUAUUAAUAUCUUAAUAGUAUCAGUUCGUUCUUUCACAUUUUUUAUUAUUACUAAGCUGUAGAGAUGAUGAAGGCAGCUGUUUUUUAGCCAAUUUUGCUGCUGGCUUUUCCUAGUAUUUUUGUUCUUGACCACUUUUCCAUUCAUAACAGGAAUCUCUGGUCAACAUAAAUUCUUCUCGAUGAUUACAACUAUGUCAUUUUGCCUGUUAGCCCCUGUAACUCUGUUUGCGAAGGUGUCAAGUUCGCUCCCUCAUACAUGCAGUCUGCUGUGAGUAUGAUGUUAUGAUGCUGGCAAAGACACUUUAAUUUAUGUGUGUGCAUGCAUGAUGAGUGUGUAUGUCAGUCUCUGUGUGCAUGUAAGCAUGUAAUAUGCAUUCAAUGUAUGCACAUAUAUAGGUAAAUUCCCGUUUGAGUUGGAAUUUUGUGAAAUCUCUGGUUUCUGGAAUUACUGUAAAUGUGCAUCAAAAGUGGUGCUUACAUUGGCUUUUUGAGUAAUGUAUGUCCAAUGCCUGCACUCUACAAAGAUACUAUCUUGCAGGCACCAAUCUUGAUGCACAUGAGCAGCCAUAAAGUUAAUUUGACUACUGAAAGUUUAACAAGUGGUGACUGUCCCUCUCUCUCUCUUUCAUAUUAAUUUGUUAAUAUUCGUGGUGCUUUAAAACAUUUAACACUGUUAAUGUUCUUUGGCCUUCCCCUCAUGGGAAUUGCAGGGUUUGAAUCUUAAACAGAUAUACACGAGAUCCCCUCUUGCUGGGCUAUGUUUUCAUGCAUAUCAACAGGUGAGACAUUCUAAACUCUGUUUCUUUGCAUCGUGUAUAGGAAAAUGUACUGUGCAAAACCAUGUACUUCACCUGCUUUGGAUUAAUGUCUAAUACUGGAAGCAAUACAUUGAGGUCUUGAACAGAUUCCUGAUGUUGAACUGUGACUGUUUUAGCAGUCAUUCUGCCCGCCCAGCUUGUUACAGAUCUAAAAGAACUAGAUUUCCAUUGUUUGUGCUGUCGUAGUUCUCGUCUCUGGAAUAUUUUGACUUUGCACAUUGUGCUAUCAAUGUUUUAUUUCUGAACUUUAGUGGAUCUGCUUAUGUAAUCACAUGAAGUGUUCCAUUACUUGUCUUUUUGAUUUCGCUGAGUGAUUAUUGCCAAUGUUCAGGUGUUCUCUUUGUUCAGAUUAUGAUUGAUGAAAAUUCACAUCAUCUAUGCUUUCUUAAUCCAAGUUAUUUACUUAUUUGUUUCUAUAGUUUUCACUGUAGAUUAUCUUAAUAUUUUCACUUCUUAAAACUGUACCCAAUUGUGACUUCUGCAAUGCUUUUAAUAAUGUUUUCAGCCUUCAGUACUGCUAGUUAAAUUUUUUAUAUCUAAGAGAACUGUGCAAGUGCUAAGAGCAUGCUAUCUUUUCAGGCCAGAAACUCCAAUCUAAGUGGCCUAUUGGUUUUCCUCUCUUCAACUGCAAAAAGUCAGAAAUCUGUGAACAAUUAAAAGUUGUCUCAUGCAAACUAACUUCUUUCUAUCAAGAAAGUGUAAAGUAUUGGUUUCCAUGCACUGUAUGAUCAGCAUUUUAUUUCAUGCUGAAAACAUAUUCUAUUCUGGGAGAGACUUGAAAUAAGACUUACAAAUUAAAAAACAUCUUAAAAGAUUUUAUAGCCCUAAAUAUUGGGAAACUAUGAGGAUAGUAUAGAAUAUUUUAUGCAUUGUGGCGCUGCCUAAAACUAUUUCAAAAUAACAGUAUUUAGAACAUGUCAUGCAUCUUUAGCUAAUUUAGUAGACAUGAAUGCCACCAUUUAGAAUAAUUAAGAAUGGUGAUAUGAUAAAAUGUUUUGAAAUGCCAUGAUAAAUCACUAUGCGGCUAAGAAGAUAAUUGUCAAAUUGGAUUAAACUAAUAGCACGUACCAAGAACUAAUAUAAUCCAUAACUUAUGGUCCAUAUGGUAAAUUUGAAAAAGGUUAAGAAAGUAAUAUACUUCUGGCAGUAAAUUUUUGGUUUGGUAGACCAAAAAUUUGAAACCAUGCAUUUUGGGCAAGUUCUCCGAGUUUAAUUUCAACCAGCUUUCUCAUCAUAACACAGCUUGCUAUAUCAUGAUUUAGGCCCUGUUUGGGGGAGCUGUUGGUAGUAGAGCUUUUAGAAAUAGAGCUGUUGGAAGUAGAGCUUUCUGAAGUAGAGCUUUUAUAAAAAACUGUUUGCUGUUUGGUAACGAUAUUUCUAAAGUAAUGUGGCACUUUAACAUAUAUUUGAUAAACAAACUGAGAAAGUACUUUUGUGUGACAAAAUGACUAUAAAAGACAUUACUAGUAUUAUAGAACAGAGCAUAAUAAAAUAUAAUAUAUAUUAAUACAUUAAUUUAUGUAGUAUAAUAUUAAUGUAAUGUAAUAUAAUAUUAAUAUAACAUAGUACUAUAAUGUUGUAUACUAUAGGAUAAUUUAAUAUAAUAUUAAAUUAUUUAACAUAAUAUAUCAAUGUAUUAUGAUAUAAUGAAAUAUAAUAUUAUAUUUAUAGUAUAAUAUAAUAAUAAAUAUAUAAAAAAUUUUAUAGUUAUUAGUGUAAAUUAAUUUUUUACCCUUCUGAUAACCAUUUAUCUCUAUAACAAAUUUUUAGCUGGAUGAUAAAAUUAGUUAAAUAAUUAUUAAUAUUUAUUUUUAUUUGCUUAGAUCAGAUUAUUUGCCACUCACUCAUUAUUUUUUAUUUAUUUAUUUAUUUUAUUUAGUUAUUUAUUUAUUAUUUUAUUUCAUUAAAAUAUAUUUAUUUAUUAUCUUAUUUAUUUAUUUAUUUGUUUAUUUAUAUACAUAUUUAUUUAUUUAUUUAUUUCGUUUUGUUNNNNNNNNNNNNNNNNNNNNNNNNNNNNNNNNNNNNNNNNNNNNNNNNNNNNNNNNNNNNNNNNNNNNNNNNNNNNNNNNNNNNNNNNNNNNNNNNNNNNNNNNNNNNNNNNNNNNNNNNNNNNNNNNNNNNNNNNNNNNNNNNNNNNNNNNNNNNNNNNNNNNNNNNNNNNNNNCCAAGCCGUGGCCGCGGCUGGACAUGGCCGGUGGCUGGCCGCGGCGCAACGAAGCCCCAUGACCGGCCGCCAUGGGGGCUUCGCUACGGCUCGCCUUCCUGGUCCCGCGGCUGGGACGCCACGGUCCCGCGGCUGGCGGAGUCCUGGCCACCCCAUGGCUGAGCCCGGCAGCUCCACGGGCCGGCCGCACGCCACGGGUGGUGGCCGGCGUGGUGGCUGCCACCGUGGGCAGCCACAGGCUGCCUUCCAAAACAAAAAAGAGAGGAAGAAAUAGGGGCAGCGGCGUUGAGAGGAAGAAAAAGAUAGAGAGGGAGAGGGAGGGGGAUGGAUGAGAACCGUGGCCGGCGUGGUGGCUGCCACCAUGGGCAGCCACGGGCUGCCUACCCAAAAAAAAAAAGAAAAAAGAAAAGGAAGAAGAAACAGAGGCGGCAGCGUUGAGAGGAAGAAGAAGAUAGAGAGGGAGAUGGAGGGGGAUUGGUGAGAGAGGAAGAGGCGGUAAGAUUAGAGUUUUGGGAGGAAAAAUGGUCUUUUAAAUGGGGGGUGUUUUGGUCAAAAAAAAGCUUUCCGACAAAACUCAAAACAACUUUUUCAGAAAGCUCCAAAUUGGAGCUUCUUCUAAAAAGCUGUUUCAGCUUUCUGAAAAAGCUGAAACAACUUUCCAAAAUUUUUACCAGACAUCCUUUUUCAUUCAAAAGUAUUUUUGGAGGGCCAUAAAGUGCUUUUUGGCCAUCCAAAUGCUCCCCCAAACAGGGCCUUAGACUUAGCAAGCUUUGGAUUUUGAAGUCAAGUUUGAUAAUACUUAGGGAAGUCAUCUUCAGGACAAAUGAAUGUAGUUAGUAGAAUUACAUUCAACUUUGGCCAACAAAGUAACCAAAUUAUCAGGAGCAGAAAAACAUGAUCACACUAUGUUAUAACCUUAAUGUCGGAAAACAUGUCUUCAAUUUUUGACAUACAUCUUUGUAAUAUCUUUUAUUAUCAAAUAAAUUUUUGGACUCAUGAAUGUCCUUGAAGGCUCAAUUUUAAUUUUACCCGAACUUUGCUAAAACCCAGAAGUUCUUUAAGAAAAAUCUUAUAUUUUAGCCUCCAAAGCAUCUCAUCUAACAUGAAACUAAAUAGGACGUGGUAUUUCAACAGAAGUAUUCAUGAACAAAUGCGCACACAUAAUAUGGCUUUUAUAUGUAUAUGAGCUUGCUAGGCACUUGAUGUGCUAUUUAGGUGAGGAACUACAUUACAAUGUCAAAAAGAUGGUAAUUGUUGUUCAAUAAUAUGAUGAUGUAUUCUUUCUCCAAGAUAUAGUAUUGUAUUCAUUGUGUAUUUGUCAAACAAAUGCGAGUAGUAGAGUACUUAUCUUUAAUUUACUAGGGUCUUUGAUAUCAUUCAAUCAUUCAUUGAUUUCCAGUUAAUUGCAUUUCAAAUUUUCACACACCUAUAUAGUUUUUCAAUAUAAUUUCAAUUGCUCAUUAUGUGAAACCAUGCACUAAAAUAGGACGAGUAGGGUAUUUAUAUCAAUCAACUUAAACAUAUUUAUGUAAAAAUAAAGAAUUAAAAUAAUAAAAGAUAAUAAGAGAAAAGACCAAAAAAUAAUUUAGAGGCCAAGUUUGACUGUACAAGUGCAUACGGCUUGGUAUCAUUUGCUGAUAUGGUGCACAAUAUGACGUGCGUCAUCGACCAGCUAUUGAUAUGCUUUUGUAAUUCAAUAUUUGAAUCAUGCUAUAGUAUAUAAAAAUUCAUGGUUCCAAGAUUUUGGUUGGCCAAGCAACCCCUUAAAGUUAUCUUUUAGUUGUAAAGCCAACAUGAUUUAAGUACCAGUCGAAGUUGCACAUUAGGGGAGUUGCUUGAUUUUAGUUGACCAGGGAUACAGAUCAUUCUGCCCAAGUCCAUGAGCAUUUUGUUUUCCGUUGUAAAAAGGUGGAUUCAUAUAUCAAACAACCAAUAUAAUGCAUGUUAUGCCUUGAUGUAUGCAAGCAGUUAUUAGAUGCUUUAAAACAGUCAAAUGUUGUAAAGAUGUCCCCUAGUUCAUAGUUCCUAAGUAGUUCUAAUCCAUUUUUCUGGCAAUUUUUUUUGGCAUCCUAAUGUUAAGGCAAGGGAGUCUCUAUUUUGCUGUAACAGUGUGCUCUCAAGUUUUUUACCUGUGAUUGAUUCAAGAGUUACAGAAGUUGAGGAUAAUAGGAAAAUAAUUGCUCUAGGUUCUAUGAAUCUCACUCCAUAAAUAAUAGGCUAGUUACAUGUGCUUUGACUGAAUGAAUGUUUGAGACACUGGUGCACUGUCCGUGCAUUCUUCUAUGCUUCUGCCUACCAAUGUCUUCUAUGCUUCUGCCUACCAAUGUUCGCACCCAUCACACAUGCUAUACUAUUUAUGCUUACUGAUACAGCAAACAGUAGUUAUUGUUCUUGAUAGGCUGCCUUCUUUGCGAAUUCUAUGCAUCACCUGUCUUCUCUUGUGAAUUUCCCUUCACUAAGUUUCAUCAUUUGGUUUGAUUUGAAAAUGCUCUGUUAGGUUUCGUACAUGAUACUAGUAAGGGUGUCACCUGUAACUCAUUCAGUGGGCAACUGUGUGAAACGGGUGGUGGUCAUCGAGACCUCAGUUCUUUUCUUCAGGACUCCUGUUUCGUUUAUCGACUCGCUCGGUAACUCAUCCUUCUACUGGUGGUACUGGAUGUAUUCGAUACCUCUAAGUGCAAUAUCUUUGGAUAAUAUGUGUACUGCAGGAACUGGUGUGGUGCUGGCUAGAGUUUUCCUGUAUUCAAGGGUGAAGAAAAUCAAGCCAAAGACUGCAUGAGUAAUCUUGUCUUUCGUAUGUUCCAUUUUUUGUAUGAGUGUGCGGGUUGUUCUAGAGAUGAUGUUCGUAUUUGUUUUGCUGCUUCGCUUCUUCCAGUUUUCCAGCAGACAUACAUAGCAUGUAUGUCGGAUUUAGUUUUAGCCCCUCUCUGAGAGAACUAUAAGAUUGCAUUUUUCUUUUUCUUUUUUUGUUUUUUAACACUUUUUUGUGUGUUGAGAGGAGUGGGGUGGGGGGUUAAACCUUUUUAAAAUUUACCUUCACAAGUUAUGCAUGCUUUUGUACACAAUUAUGCCUAUUUUACAGGCAGUAAGGCAGGGAAUAAAAUGGCCAUCGAAAUGAAGGGUGAUGAAUGAAAUACCCGAUCACCAGAGAUUAGAUGUAAAUAGUCGUGAAUCUAGGAGUGGAGUCUGGACCUCAAGUUCCUCUUUGGAUGUCCCAUUAAGGCACAAGCUGGUGAGGUAAAAGGAGAGAGAUGCAUUUCAGCCAAAAAAAAAAAGAAGAAGAGAGAGAUGCAAGGGAUCAUAGGCUAUUACGGAUCCACUAGCAGUAAUAGUAUCAAAAGUAGUAAUACUAUGUAGUAAUAGCACCCAUAGUAGUAAUAGUACUAAUAAUAGUAAUAGUACCAAUAAUAAUAAUAGUACUAAAAAUAAUAAUACUAUUAAUAAUAAUAAUCGUACUAAUAAUAGUAAUCAUAUUAUAAUAUUAAUAACAGUAAUAUACUAAAAAGAGUAAUACUAUUAAAAAUAGUUUUAGUACUAAAAAUAGUAAUACGACUAAUGAUGGUAAUAGUGCUAAUAACAGUAAUAUGAUUAAUAAUAGUAAUAGUACUAAUAAUAGUAAUAAUGCUGAAAAUAAUAAUAGUACUAAAAAUAAUUAUAGUAAUUCUAUAAAAAGUAGUAAUAGUAUCAAUAGUAGCAAUACCAAUAGCUGAUUGAGAAUGUAGAGUAAAAAACCUAUUUUUGGUUUGAUAAGUUCCGUGGCUGAUGCCAUGGUCGGAUUGAGCAAGCUUCAGCAGCAAAGUGGGUGGUUGGGUGAUUGCACAUGACAGCCAAUUGGGGUCUGAGUUAUUGCACCAAUCCAUACUAAAGUAGGCACGUGUUUAGUCGAUGUUGACAUUGUAAUGCAUUGGAUGAGUUUAGCUGGUUUAUUAUUCGGCAGUGAAGAUGCUUUUAUGCUCUGGGCUUGCUUUUCUUUUCUUUCUUAUGUUUCCCCAAUCUUUUGGUCCUAAUUUUAAUUAAAACAUUGCUACAUAAUAACUCAAUGCUGUGCUUCUUGGGUAGUUCUCUUUGCAUCUUUGCUUGAUCCAUUCAAACAUCCAGCCUGUUUUUCUUUCCUCCUGAUUGCCUCGGUGAUAACCUACAAUUUGGAUGUAAUCCCCUGGGUGUGGUACAAUGACCAUCUCUCUCUUACCCUGUGUUUUUUUAUAGGCGGAUUAUGGAUGACUGCCAUUCAUCAAAUAAUCCCCUCUUUCAUGUUGUCACGUGCAAUACGUGUGCUGAUUUCCAGUUGCUUGUUUGAUGAAAAUAUCUAAUUCUUAUUUUUCUUUUGCAUCGGUUAAUGUAUGUUUGUUUGAUGGUAGUCCAUUGGAGUGGAAUGUUUCAGAGUGUGGAGUUGCUAGGGAUUUGGAUGCCCCAUUGUCUUCAUUGUGGCUACAGUAAUACGAAAAAAAACAUAACUGUGGUUCUAGAUGGUUGGAAGUGAACCAAAGCAAGCAACAAAAAAAGUCAUCUGAUAUAAUGAAACAAAGUAAUGUGCUAUUUAGCCGGAGUUUUUUUUCUUAUAUUCCUCGAUUUUGGAUUUCUUUAGCAACCUAAAAUUCCAUCUUUGAAGCUGAUAACCGCCAUCACUAUUUCCACGGUUUCCUCCCUGGAUACUACAUUCUGCUGCUGAUGCCAUAUUUCGUCUCUCUCUUUAUAUAAUAUCUGGUUGAUAAAUAUUAUUAUACACAAGCUGGACGAAGUUUCUUUGGGUCAACUAAUACCAAAACUAAAAAAAAAUAUUGGUAUGUUGGCUCGACCAAGAUUCUAUAGAUACCAAAGUAUCAGCUGAUGCCAUGAAAUUAUGAAAAGGAGAUUGAAUCAUGUUUCUUUUUUUUCUUCUGCAUAUUGAGAUAUUGACACCAGAUGGUAAUAUCUCAGGAUAUUAUUUGCUUGUAUUGAUCAAAAUAAUAACUCAAAAACAUCGACAGACAGAACAUCAAGUUUUAUGCUAGCCAUCACAAAAUGCAGAUGAAGCACUAGCAUUAAUUUUCUUCCACGACGGUCCAUGAAGCACCUGAUGCUACUGUUCAAGCAGAUGCAGAACGCACGAAAAUCUAGUCAGGAAUAUAGGUAUCCUGAAACCCCCUCCCAUGCCAGGAUCCCUCCUGGUUGGGAAUAAGAAUACCUAUUUCCCGCCAAACAGAUGUGUUCUCUCUAACUUGGGUCAAACAGUAGAAAAUAGACCAAAAAAAAAAAAUUUAACGAUAAUCUAUCCGGAGGUUACAAGCAACCAAAUGUUUCAGUACCUCACAGAAAAACAAGCUUUGGUACCUGUUAUUAUUAAUCCAUAUUAUUCUUAUCAUAAUGUUGCAAAUUCACAACACAUCGGCCACCAGAAAUCAAAGUAGAAGAGGGUGCCCAGACGUGCCAACCCAGCAAGACAAGUGAGCUUAGGGGCCAUUUUAAUUUUCGAUAUUAUCAAUUGAUGACUCAGGUUGCUCAGCUGCCGCCAUUUUAGGCGAUGUUGUACCCUCUUCAAAGGGCAUCACACCAUCCUCUCCAUCAGCAGGAAUCAUUCCUUCCUCUUCUUCCUCCCCACUCCUAUUGCAUGGCACUAACGGUGAUCGAACCGAUCCCUCAUUAGGCCCUUCAGCAUCCCCAUGGUCCCAUGGAGAUCCUCGAUGCCACUGUGCUGGGUUAGCUGAUAUUCCUUGCUUUCCAUUGUCAAUAUUACUAUACAGGCAUUCAGAUGUCUCAUUCUGAACGCUAGGUGAGCGAUCUGGUUGAACCCUUUCCAUGUCCUCACCGUUAUAUGGAGGUGAUCCCCUCUGAUCUUCGUAAGAUGGCAUUUUUGAUGAAUCGACAGGAUUGCCAAUCUGAUCAUUGAUUGGUGAAGGCACUCUUCUCCUUGAUACUGGUGAUUCCCGAAGUGUUUGCCCAGCCUCCUCACCAUGCCGGUCACCAUAUUGGUCGAUGCCACGGCUAGGACUGCGACUACGGCUCCUGCUUCGACUGUGGCCAUGGUUCCAGCUCCUGCUGCAGCUAUUGCCCCACCCAACACGCCCCUUCACAGGGCUCGGGCUGUACCUCUGGCUGUUAUUCCAGCUAAGGCUGCGACUGCGGCUACGGCGUUUACCUCUGGAUUUGCGAUCACGAAUCUCUACCUCAUGACCAUCUUGAUAUCCAUGACCAUAUCUGGCAAAAUCAUCAUCAAUAAUAAGUUUUUCUUUUUCCUUUUACUCUGGAAUGGUGAUUCGGUAUCCUAACACAUCUAAAAAGCAAUAAUACAGCCACUUGCCUAGAGCCUGGACCAACAAGCUCUCAGUCCUACAGGGACCAAGUGCGUGAGAUGGUUUUUAGUUGAGGCCUUGGGUGUUUUGGAAAGUUGCACAUCGUAAAGUUAUUGUAUAUCUAAAAUAAGCAAGUCUAUUUACACAUCUUCCCAACAAACCCUGUUUACUUCCAACUAUCACCAGACAAAUCAUCAGUUAUUCAGAUUAUUGGUAAUGUAGAUAUAGCAGCCAUGAUUUACAAAAGAAUUAGAAAAUAUUAGUUCAGUUGGGGACUCCCUAGUAGAUACUAGUAACAGAUUCAAACUGUGCUAAAGAUCACCAGAUAUGAAAGCUGUGCUGGCUCGUUCUCAUGUCAUGACCAUGAUAAUAUAGUCUACAUUAUAACAUUAGAGUAAUAUGCUGAAUAGAUUGUCGAUCAAAUAUACUAAACAAAAUACCGUUAAUUUCUUAGAAAAACAUUUAUCUCCAAAACGAUGUUACUGGUGGAUUUUUAGUAAAAAAUUAGAAAUUAUGUUCUUAAAAAAAUAUGUUCUAAUUUAAACAAAUUAUUCCCUUCACGUGACCUCAGUUUGACAUGAUUUAAUUUUUAACCACACUUCCAACCAAUCUUUCCUCUUUCUCCCUCCUAUCCCCCCAUGCCUCUCCCCCUCUCUCUCUCUCUCUCUNNNNNNNNNNNNNNNNNNNNCUCUCCCUCCUCUCUCUCUCUCUCUCUAACCACCCCAAUCCCUCCCCCCCCCAAAAAAAAGGAAAAACAACAAAAAAAGUCGCAGCCUCUCGGAACCCUGUCUCAGUUCCUCCCGCUCUUCCCCCACGUCACCCUCGCCUGCUGUCCCCAUCAAUCUCAGUAUUAUCCAUCUCUUUCUAUAUAAAGCUCCAGCAUACCCUCUACCUCAAUUCCUCCCUCUCUUCCCCAACAUCGCCCUCUCCUUGUAUCGCCAUCAAACUCAAUAUUAUCCCUUUCUUCACAAAGCUCCAACAUAUUUUUAUUUUAUUUUUGUUAUCAUGCUUCUAUUUUCUAUUUUAUUUUCAAUACCUUUCAUAUAUAAUAUAUCUCAGUGACUUACAAUGACGUAUUUUAUUUUUAUAUAUUAUUUUCUUCUAAAAUGUGCAUUUCACAUCAUGUUUUUUAUUAUUUAGUAAUCAUAUAUCUUUUAUUUAUUUUCCCUAUUUUUAUCAUUUUUAGUUGAUUUUCUUUUAAUUUUUAUAUUGAAUUUUCUUUAACCACAAAUUUACAGUUUCUACUAUCUUUAUGUUUUAUUUUUUGCAAUUAUUUUGUAAAUUUUUUAUUUUAUUUUAAUUUGUAUCUAAUAUAUUUUAAUCACUUAUAAUGCUUAUUGCUUAUUUCACAAACAUGCGCUACGUGGGCCCAAUUUUAUAUUUAUUUAUGUUUUUAUUUCAAUUUCACUUUAAAGCUGAUUUACGUUUGUUUUGUGCUUCCAUUUAUCAAUUUCUUAUUUAUAUAUAAUAUAAUUAAAUGAUCAUAUUAAUAUUGUUGUCUAUUUAUUAAUUUUCCUCGUAUGUGCAAUUCACAGCCUUUGUAUGCUACUUUAGAUUAGUAACUAAGUAGUACUGAAAAAAAGUUUGACUCAAAAGGAGUAAAAGUAAAUUUACAGUUAUAAAUACCUAUCACGAGGAGGCUCGAGAACAUCGCGUCCAUGACUGCCACGGCCACUAUCUGCUCUACCGGAUGGUAGCAGGCCAUGCACAUCCCUUCCCCUAUAACUAGUAUCACUACGUCCACGCGAGCAGCCACCAUCACGAGCAACAGAGCGAGAACCCCAACGGCGGGACUUCCCACCAUACCCACCACGUGAAACCAUGUCCCAUAACUCCUUGGGAACAUGCUGGUCUGCCCCUUCCAGAACUUUGACAAGAUCUGCUGCAUACUUCGAGUCCUGAUCGCAGAAGAACGUGUAAGACACACCAGUGGCACCUGCCCUACCAGUUCUGCCAAUCCUGUGAACAUAGUCUUCAACACCCGUGGGGAAAUCAUAGUUGACCACAACCCUGUGAAUAUUGGAAUUAUAACACAUUUAUAUGCAAAAAAAAAACAAAUAUAAAUUUUGCACAAUAGUCACCAAAAAUGCAGAAAAAGCAAUUUGAAGCCAUCACAAAUCAACACAGAACAACUAGAACUGCAUGAGAACUGAGGCAUGCAACAAGAUGUUCAUGCUGCAGAUUAAAAUGAUGAUGCCAUUGGCUGGUCCUCCUUUAUAACUAAAUAUCAUUAAAUCAAUAAAGAAAGAAGCAGAUGAAGCUUAACCUGAUAUCUUUGAUGUCCAAGCCUCGAGCAGCAACAUCAGUAGCUACUAGUAUGGGGGACCUUCCAGUUCGAAAUUGGUUUAAAACCCUGUUCCUCUCACCUUGAGACUUGUCACCAUGAAUAGCAGCUGCACCAAACUGACGAGUGAGGGUCCUAGCAAGCUGGUCACACAUCCUCUUUGUUGAGCAAAAUAUUAAGAUCUUAGACCCUGGAUCUUGGGAUCGCAAUAUCUGUUCCAACCGUCUGAGUUUUUCCAUAGGUGUGAUUACUUCCACAUACUGCAACAGACACGGAUAGAAGCAAUGAAGAUUUGAAUACCAUCAAUUGAGAGGAAGACUGACUAGUACCAGGAUAAAUAUCAGCAAUUGCAUCUCCCUAUAAUAUUGCAGAGAUGCCUAAACCAACAACAAAUAGGAUAUAUUUAUCUUGCAUAAAUAAGUAUUUUUGCAUGAUGAGCACAAAAACCUAACAAUUAACAUUUUUUUCAAAAAACCAAUAUAGUUUCUUGACAAUAUGGUAAAAAGAAAUAAAAUAUACAGAAUGUGAACUUCCUUGAAUUCAGUGAUAGUGAAUACCUGCGUGAUCGCAUUGUUUGCAACAAGAUCAUCUAUGCUCCCAAUGUUAACCUGAACAUGAUGAACAAGUAGAUCUGCAGCUAUUUUCCUAACUUCCUUUGGCCAGGUAGCAGUAAACAUAAGAGUCUGCCGACGAUUUGGUAUCUCUUUCACAAUUUUCCUUAUCUGUGGCUCAAAACCCAUGUCCAGCAUUCGGUCAGCCUCAUCAAGAACCAGAUAUGACACCUGACGGAGGCUUACUCUUCUCAUCUCUAAAAUGUCAUUCAGUCUUCCUGGAGUUGCAACCACAACAUCUACACCUCGGUCUAAAUCCCUCAACUGGGGACCUUUUGGGGCACCUCCAUAUAAACACUUGAACCACAUAAACAUAAGAUGCGAGUCAACAAUAAAACACGAUGACUAUUACUUAAGUAGACUUCUACCAAGAAAAAGCACAGAUUUAUUGAGAAUGAAACAGAUAUGGAAUAUCAUCUGCUAGCAUACACAUAACAUUACAACCAGCUAUGUCAAUUUCAGGAAUAUUAACCUUUAUAUUUAUGAGCAGAUCAAGAGGUCUAGAGGGGAGAGAUACAUGAGACUCCAGGUUAUCUUUAAAAAUGAACAAAAUUUUUGAGAACUUUAAGUCUUAUAACAAGCUGUUUUUGUCAAAAUCAAAACUAGCUGUAAAGCAUAUGCCAUCAUUGAUCCCAAGGAACCAUGAAAAACCAACCCACAACAGAACUAAAGUAACUACGGAAGGAACAAACCGUGCACGAAAUUCUUGAUGCUCUCCCAAACUUCACAGCUUCAUCUUGUAUCUGCGUUGCCAGCUCCCUAGUUGGUGAUAGGACCAAUACUGUUGGACCCAUUUUAAAGUUGUUACAGAGGCGCUUAAGAUGCAUGAACCCUGGAAUAAGAUAACCAAGUGUUUUGCCUGAUCCUGUCUUUGCAAUGGCUACAAUAUCACGACUUUGUAAUGCAAUUGGCCAAGACUGAGCCUGAAUAGGAGUGGGAACAGAGAAACCUGCAUGGUGUACCUGGAAAAGCAAAAACCCACAAAAUCCAUGAGGAAUAAUAGUCUAAAGUACUAGCCUUUUUAAGGGGAAAAAAGUCUCCCUUUUCCCUCUCUCUCCCUCUCUCUCUCUGGAAUUGAAGCAGAGGAUUAGGCUAAUGGCGGUACUAGUGCAUUCCCAAAUUGUAUGUGGACACUUGCAGAAGCAAGCUCGAGCAGGAGAAGGGCCAUCACUGCUUGGACCCAAGUGGCAGCUUGAAACAAAUCUCUGGAUGGAGCCCCAGCCAUGAACUUGUUGUCAGAAAGCCUUUCCCAUAUUGGUGGCCACUUGCAAAUGCAAGCUGAAGCAGGAGAAAGGGCCUUCUUUGUCAGGACUAAAGUGGCAGUCUGAACCAAUCAGCGGAGGCAGCCGAGCGCCCCAGCCAUGAACCAGUCCCUCAAAAAGCCCUUACCAAAAUUGGCAGCUGCUUGCAGAUGCAAGCUGGAGCGCGCAAAAAGGGCCUUUUUUGGGGGGCUUCUGUGGCAGCAUGGCCCAAAUCACCAGAGGAAGCUCAGCCACGAACUGGUAACUCAGAAAGCCCUUUUCAUACUAGGCCACCAUAACAGAUACUUCAGCUAUAUACCUCCCUCCCAGGAAAGAGGGUGGCACGUGCAGCACAGCGUACGACAUUGGCUCCGCCCCGGAGCAAAUAUCGCACCUGAGACAGAAGUAGAGAAUGGAAAGAAAAAUGAAUGGGCAUGAACCUCCAGCAAUUAAAAUAACUGUGCAGUGAAUGCUCAUGAGCACUAGAGUAUAGUAAACUUGCACAUGCAUCACACACCAAAGCAAUCAUACAAGCAAGGACAAACAAAAGGGAGACUGAAAAAUUACCUCUUUUAGAAUUUCUGAGGGAAAGCCUGCCGACUCAAAUGUCAUGUAUGGUGCUGGUACAUCAUCUCCCUGAAAAAAAAAAUCAAGUAAAGAUAACAUCAGUGGUCACUAAUGCAUAGCAUAAUGAAAACAAAAGAAGAAUUUGAAACAAAAACGAAAUAUAAAAAGCAUCACAAAGAAGAGAACAAAAACAUUUCUCUUAAAAUAUAAAGAGCAUCAUCAAAAAAAAAGAGCAAAAUCAUUUCUUUUGACAUUUUGAAAGAAAUCUAUAUCUAUUGCCAUAUGAUGGAAGCAACAGUUUCGUUUUGGCUACCAGGAUGAAUGUGCUGCUCCUUUUUAUUCUACUAUUACGACAUAUACAAAAGUAGCACUUUCAUCCUGGCCACCAGGAUGAAAGUGUUGUUCCUUUUUAUCUUCAUAUUCCUACUUAUCAUAAAUCCCCUUCAACAUACAUUAAAUCACUCAUGUUCACAUAACCAGAUUUCUGUCCUGGCCAAGGCGCUCAUCCAUUGGUUUCUCCCUUUUUACACCUAUAAAAAUACUAGCUUGUUGCAUGUGAAAAGCACAAGGGUUAUUCAACAAUUAAUGACGCAAGGUAUGCCCAUAGUCUGAGUGUUGCUUAUGCAUAGUGGAGGCUUCUUUUCCCUUCUCUUCUAUUGUGUCAGGACACUAAUAAAGGCAGGAGCAUCCCCUCCCCAUCAAGGGAAGUCCAGCUCAGGGGGAAUCUGGCUACAAAGGGAGAGAGUAUACAAAAUUCUUUCCUAUUUAAAAUAGUAGCAAUAAAAUGCCACAUUCCCAUUAAAGCAUAUUCUUUGUUUUCUGUAGUUGUUAAAUAUAAUAACCAUUAUAGUAGUUGAUUUUUGACUUUUAUAAUUGUCAUUGCCUGUACAACAUAGUAAUACAUUAGAAGUUUAAAACAAAUAAUAGUAUCGCAACCUGUCUUCACUGGCGCUAAGAUUUAACACUGAAUACCAUGAUAAUGGACCCUCUUGAGACCAUCUACCAUUAAAUAAAACCUAAUGGAUGUUAUUAGCCGUGUCAAGCCUUUUAUUGAGGGUCAAGCCUUUUAUUGACUUUUUAAGAAAUAAAGCAAUGGUUGUUAUAGUAGCUGCUAUUAGCCAUUAUAAGGGGAAUAGCAGAUUGUUAUUUGAUCCUCUAUGCAUAUACAUGUACAUAUGUAUAUACAUACAUAUGUAUUUACAUAUAUUUAUAUAUGUAUAUUUAUAGGUUUAAAAAACAAAUUGAGUAAUACAACGUUAUGAGUGUCGGACUGUACUAGGCUAGUACCAGCACAGGGCACCCAUGUGUGCUUGAAUUCCCUGCAUUUCGUACUGCUUUGAAUGGUACCAAACACAUCACUCAAUAUCGAACUAAGCACGACUGGAUAUGGCUUGGUGCCAAGCCAUAUCCAGUACAAAACACCUUCUUUCUUUUUUAGUUUUACCAUUUCAUUCACUCAAAAAACAAGUGGGAGGUUGAUUGUUGGUAGUAAAGAGGUGAGAGGCUCCAUUUUCACACUUCAGUAUAGCUAUGAUAACACUUCAGUGCUAGUCUAGAACUUCUGAAAGCUGGUCCCACCAUUGGCCUAUUUUGUUGUCUGGGUCACGAGACAACAAUUAAAUCACAGGUCAAGGUCGAUCCUUUGACUUGUGACAUCAUUAAUUUAUAAAAUAAAUAAAUAAAUGUUCAACAGUAAUGACUUAAAAAAAUAAAUAUAAAUAAGCAUGAAGAAAUAUAAUAAUAAUCGCUUCUUUACACAUGUAACAUCAACAAAAUAAAAAUGAUUGAAUCUAACAUUUUUUGUAAAAAUAAAUAAUGAAGAUAUUUAUUAAUAUCUUUUACUAAACAUACCUUGCAAUAAUUUAGCAUAGCAAUGACCAUUGAUAGGAUCCAGAUCUAGACAGGUUGUUAAAUGAUCCUAAUCCUGGAAAAAUAUUAUAAAUUAAUAUUUUAUUUUUUGAGCAUCCUAGGAGUGGUUGACUUGGUGCAGGUCAUGGUUGACUCAGACAAGUCAUUAGGUGGUUCAAGUUUUUGAAACUUACAGGUUUGGGAUUGACCCGAUCACUACAAGUCUACAAGUUUCUAGGCAUGUCAACCCACCCGAGUCCUAAAAUAUUGGCCAUACUACAACAACUAUAAUAAUAUAUCAUAAUUAUUCAUGAGUGAUAAAACUGUAAUAUAGGAAUACUAUAACUAUACAUUAUUCUCUAGUUAUAGUUUAGCUAUAAUAUGGUUAUACUGCUUUUCUAAUAUAUGCCAAGUUGAACAUGUGGUAAAAUUACAAAGCAAACUGAAGGAGUAUAUUAGACGAGCUGUAAGAGUUGCACAAAAUGAGGACAAAAUGAUACAAAAUCAACUAAGAUGGUAUGGACAUGUAACAUGAUGAUCUAAGGAGAGAUACUUUAAUUUGUGUAAGGAGACAUAUUUUUAUUAAGGGGGACUCUAGAAAGGAGAGGUACUUUAAUUUGUGUAAGGAGAUGUACUUUAAUUAAGGGGGACUCUAGAAAGAAGAGGUACUUUAAUUUGUGAUGAAAGAUGUGGGAAGAUAUAAGGUUACAUGGCUGGAGGUUGUGAGAAAAGAUUUGAAAAAAUUUGAAAUAACAUCAAAAGUAACCUAGAUAGGAGUGCUUGUCAAAGGAGGAUCCAUAUAGCCAACCCCAAAUACUUAGAGUUAGGUUGGAAUUGGAUUAUUAGGGUUAUGGUUAUGAUUAUGAUACUAUAGUUUUAACAAAGUUAUAUUAAAACUAUACUAUAGUAAGAAAAUAGCAAUUCAUUCAACUAUUAUAACAUAGUUAUAAAUAGUCAAGAUUUGUCAUUUUGGUACCGGAUCCCGUACCGAUGCCAUUCUAUUAUAGUGUCGGUACGUUGUAUGGUAUAAGACGGUGAGGGGUACCGAGUGUCGGUAUGAUAUACGGGACUGUGUACCGGUUUGCUGCCGUACAAUACGGUACGCCUGGUACUAUAUGAUACUGACCGGUACGGCGAACCUUGUAUGUAAUUACUUCGGCUAUAAUAUAUAGUUAUAAUUCAAAUAUAUAUAGCUACACCAGAAGUAGGAUGUCAUAUUAACUCAAAUGGCACACCGUACAGCAUUCAACAUCCACACCAUUCUUGAUUGUAUGUACUAUAUAGAGAUUUAGAUCGUCCUUUUAAUGCAACCACACCUACGCACAAUAAGAAAAACUUUAAGGACUCGUUUGAUUCGCUAGAAGAAUUUUUUUUACUGGAAAGAUGAUUCCUGAGAAUAUAAUACCUAAAAAAAAUAGUUUUAGUAUGUUUGAUUGAUCAUGAAAAAGCGCACAUUCUAGAGUAGCUUAUGUUUGGUUGAACAUAUACUUUUCUAGAAAAGUUAUAUGAAAAACCUAAUAUACACUUUAAUAAAGAGAAAGACCUUACCUAUGGGUUUUGAUUAAGAAUACUUUUGAAAAAAAAAGGACCAUAAUUCCCAACC